rnacentral:rRNA from 1 species
UACGUAGGGGGCAAGCGUUGUCCGGAAUCACUGGGCGUAAAGGGUGCGUAGGCGGGUCUUUAAGUCAGGGGUGAAAUCCUGGAGCUCAACUCCAGAACUGCCUUUGAUACUGAAGAUCUUGAGUUCGGGAGAGGUGAGUGGAACUGCGAGUGUAGAGGUGAAAUUCGUAGAUAUUCGCAAGAACACCAGUGGCGAAGGCGGACUCACUGGCCCGAUACUGACGCUGAGGCACGAAAGCGUGGGGAGCAAACAGGGAUUAGAAACC